UACGUAGGGGGCAAGCGUUGUCCGGAAUCAUUGGGCGUAAAGCGCGUGUAGGCGGCUCAGUAAGUCCGCUCUGAAAGCCCGGGGCUUAACCCCGGGAGGCGGGUGGAUACUGCUGAGCUUGAGUCCGGAAGAGGCGAGUGGAAUUCCCGGUGUAGCGGUGAAAUGCGCAGAUAUCGGGAGGAACACCAAUGGCGAAGGCAGCUCGCUGGGACGUGACUGACGCUGAGGCGCGAAAGCGUGGGGAGCGAACAGG
rnacentral:rRNA from 1 species